rnacentral:rRNA from 1 species
UACAGAGACUGCAAGCGUUAUUCGGAUUCACUGGGCGUAAAGGGUGCGCAGGCGGUCGUGUGUGUCAGGUGUGAAAUCCCGGAGCUUAACUCCGGAACUGCGCCUGAAACUACACGACUAGAGCAUUGGAGAGGGAAGUGGAAUACAUGGUGUAGCAGUGAAAUGCGUAGAUAUCAUGAGGAACACCAGAGGCGAAGGCGACUUCCUGGACAAUUGCUGACGCUCAGGCACGAAAGCAUGGGGAGCAAAAGGG